GGGGACUUCAACAGCCAGCUUCUAAAGGCCUUGGAAUCUACUGGAAAGUAAUGAGCUACAUUGGGAGUUGAAUGGGACAAGCUAAGUUCGACCAACAAUUUGAUGAGCCAUUAAAAUUUGCUUUGAGUAGCUGAAAAAGUCUUGGAAGCUUUAAUGAGAAGUUUUGGAGACUCCACCGACCAUGCAAUGUGAAUUUAUGAAAGAGGAUUUUCACCCUUGCAAUGCACGACGGGAUGCUUGGAAAAUAUCAAC
rnacentral:lncRNA from 1 species